rnacentral:rRNA from 1 species
AUUGAACGCUAGCGGCAUGCUUAACACAUGCAAGUCGAACGAGUGGCGGACGGGUGAGUAAUAUAUCGGAACGUGCCCAGUAGCGGGGGAUAACUACUCGAAAGAGUGGCUAAUACCGCAUACCAUUCGAGCGGCCGAUAUGGGAUUAGCUAGUGGGUGGGGUAAAGGCUCACCAAGGAAACGAUCCGUAGCUGGUCUGAGAGGAUGACCAGCCACACUGGAACUGAGACACGGCCCAGACUCCUACGGGAGGCAGCAGUGGGGAAUUUUGCACAAUGGGGGAAAGCCUGAUCCAGCCAUCCCGCGUGUAUGAGAAGGCCUUCGGGUUGUAAAGCACUUUUGGCAGGGAAGCGGUAUCUGCAGAAAAAGCACCGGCUAACUACGUGCCAGCAGCCGCGGUAAUUC